UACGUAGGGUGCAAGCGUUAAUCGGAAUUACUGGGCGUAAAGCGUGCGCAGGCGGUUGUGCAAGACAGAUGUGAAAUCCCCGGGCUUAACCUGGGAACUGCAUUUGUGACUGCAUGGCUAGAGUUUGGCAGAGGGGGGUAGAAUUCCACGUGUAGCAGUGAAAUGCGUAGAUAUGUGGAGGAACACCGAUGGCGAAGGCAGCCCCCCUGGGUCAAGACUGACGCUCAUGCACGAAAGGCGUGGGGAGCAAACAGG
rnacentral:rRNA from 1 species